rnacentral:misc_RNA from 1 species
GAUGAAGAACGCAGUGAAAUGCGAUAAGUAAUGUGAAUUGCAGAAUUCAGUGAAUCAUCGAAUCUUUGAACGCACAUUGCGCCCCCUGGUAUUCCGGGGGGCAUGCCUGUCCGAGCGUCAUUACAACCCUCAAGCUCAGCUUGGUGUUGGGCCCCGCCGCCCCGGCGGGCCCUAAAGUCAGUGGCGGUGCCGUCCGGCUCCGAGCGUAGUAAUUCUUCUCGCUCUGGAGGCCCGGCCGCGUGCCCGCCAGCAACCCCCAAUUUUUUUCAGGUUGACCUCGGAUCAGGUAGGGAUACCCGCUGAACUUAAGCAUAUCAAUAAGCGGAGGA